CCCUUCAGAAUUGCAUGAGUCGCCCCUAAAAAUCAGGGUGGAGCUCCGUUCUCUCCGAAGCGAUGACGUCAUCAUACACUCGCCUGUCACUUGGAGAAGCAACUUGGGAGCCGCUCGUUUAUUCGUCUUAUUUGAGGACUUCUUCUAAGAACAAGAUGAGCAGCAUUUCAAGUUACCAGGAUGACAACAGCAUACCUCUGGUGGAUGAUGACCCAUCAGUGGUGCUGGAUGACGACCGCACUGCAGCAUCAGAGAUUUCAGACUCAACCCGUGGCCAGAGCCUAGAGUCAAUUCCUUCAGCCUAUACCAAUGGGUCCAACAGUCCCUUGCACAAUAGUUUAGAGCCAGACAUGUCACCAGAUGAACAGGAAGAGAAAGCGCGACUGAUAUCACAGGUACUGGAGCUGCAGAACACCCUUGAUGAUCUCUCCCAGCGAGUGGAUAGUGUUAAGGAGGAGAACCUGAAACUGCGAUCUGAAAACCAGGUCUUGGGACAGUACAUAGAAAAUCUCAUGUCAGCCUCCUCAGUAUUCCAGUCAACAUCACCCAAAACUAAGAAAAAUAAACAGUGGCGCCAGUUUGAAGCUUAAGAUUUCUACAGAUAAUUAUAGGAGGUUGGUGAAGGGCUACGUAACUUGUUACACCCAAGAUAAAUGAUCUGAACGCCUGCUUUAGCUUCGUGCAAGGUUGAUGCAUCACUGCUGAGCCCCAUCGCUGGUUAUUACAACUUUUUCCUUGAAAAUUUUCAAAGUGUUAGAGUGACAAUUUGGUUUCCUGUGGAAAUUAUAUGUAUCACAAAACUAUGUAUGUGUAAUAUAUAUAUAAUAUAUAUCAGUCUUUUUUUUUUCUUCUUUUUUUCACAUUUUAGUGGAUCAAUUUGAUUUAAUGUUCUUGAGAUGCCAGGAGUGUGUGAUUUUUAUAUAUAGGAAUAUUGCAAAAUAAUUCAUUAGAUGCUUGCACUUAUCAGCAGAGGAAUGAAUCUUAAGAAGGCAGGUAGACUUCAUACUUUACUUUCUCUCUAUCUCACUCUCCAGUUUUGAAAUGAAAAAGGUGGUAAAGUUAUUAUUGGCAGCACUCGUUGCCAACAUAUCAGUGGUUUUACAGUAAGGUUUUUUAAAUGCUAGUCGUGGUAAGGAUUGCAUUGCAUGGUAAUGCACAAUAUUAUAAUUGUAUUCUUUAAGGGACAAGAAGUACCUUAAUGCAAUUUUUUUGAGUUGAUUGAAGGAGGAUGCAGAAGAGAAAAUGAUAAAAUUAACUUUCCUGUCAGAGAAGAGACUGGGAGAUUUGAAAUGAAGUACCAUGGUAAUUAUAUUUACAUGUGUCAGUCAAAAGGAAUACUGCAUUUUCAUCAGUUCACUUUAUAGUUUGUAGUUCUAGCAAUAUACUUGAUUUAUAUGCUGUGUUCCUUUAUGAUCAGAUUAUAUAUGUUACUUGUUUUACAGUAUUUGUUGAUCAAUUUGUGGUAUUUUCUAUAUGUACCAUAAAUAUUAUGCAAUAAAAAAGAAAAAGAUAAAGAGAUGCAUUCAAGAUUAUUCUGAUAAAAAAGAAAGAUAUUAAUUUGCUGUAAUGUCUAGAAAUUGUAUAUAUAUAUUUUCUUUCUUUUUCUUUUCUUAUUCUUUUUCUCUUUUUCUUCAUCUCAGAUUGAAAUUGUUGUAGAAUAUAUAUAUAUAUAUAUUUUUAACCACUUCAUCAGUCCUAUAAUGACAGAUUUAAACAUUUAUAUUCAUAGGAUGGGAACAGGAAAGAACGUUAUUGUAGAUAAUAGUAUUUCACGUAUGAAGAUUUUUGUCAGCCCUGAAGAUGAUGAGAUACAUUUAAGGAAAAGUCUUCUCUUCCCUUGCUGAAAACAUAAACAUUUGAAAAACAAUAAAAGGCAAGACAGAUGAACUUGAACUGAUGAUUAUUAUAUAUGUAAAUGAUUUGUAUAUGAUAAACAAAAAUUAUUUCCUUUGAAGGUUCAAAUCUUGUGUUCUAGUCGUUUUGAAACCAGAUUAUAGAUACUUCAGCA